rnacentral:lncRNA from 1 species
AGAAUCGAGACGACGACGUGCACUUUUCCACCGGCCACCACAACAACCACCACCAAUACUCAGUUUUUUUGGCACUGUACACCAGCGGAAUAUCAAUACUCAGCAAGUUUCCUCAAAACACCAAUCCUCAGUUUUUUUGGCAUUGCACAAAUACAAACGAGGCGUUGCACACCAACGGACACAUAUCACCAAUUCUUGUUGCACUUCCAACCAACGCAGGCAAACCAGGUACGUGAUUGCUUUAAUAUCACUUGGAUACCAAUCGUUUUUUAAAAAAAAAAAAAAAAAAAA